rnacentral:rRNA from 1 species
AGAACCUGAAACCGUGUACGUACAAGCAGUAGGAGCACCUUCGUGGUGUGACUGCGUACCUUUUGUAUAAUGGGUCAGCGACUUAUAUUCAGUGGCAAGGUUAACCGUAUAGGGGAGCCGUAGCGAAAGCGAGUCUUAACUGGGCGCUCAGUCUCUGGAUAUAGACCCGAAACCGGGUGAUCUAGCCAUGGGCAGGUUGAAGGUUGAGUAACAUCAACUGGAGGACCGAACCGACUAAUGUUGAAAAAUUAGCGGAUGACUUGUGGCUAGGGGUGAAAGGCCAAUCAAACUCGGAGAUAGCUGGUUCUCCCCGAAAGCUAUUUAGGUAGCGCCUCGGACGAAUACUACUGGGGGUAGAGCACUGUUAAGGCUAGGGGGUCAUCCCGACUUACCAACCCUUUGCAAACUCCGAAUACCAGUAAGUACUAUCCGGGAGACA